rnacentral:rRNA from 1 species
AGGACGAACGCUGGCGGCGUGCUUAACACAUGCAAGUCGAGCGGUAAGGCCCCUUCGGGGGUACACGAGCGGCGAACGGGUGAGUAACACGUGAGUAACCUGCCCCCCACAUUGGGAUAACCCCCGGGAAACCGGGGCUAAUACCGAGUACGACCACUCAGGGCAUCUCGAGUGGUGGAAAGCUCCGGCGGUGGAGGAUGGACUCGCGGCCUAUCAGCUUGUUGGUGAGGUAACGGCCCACCAAGGCGACGACGGGUAGCCGGCCUGAGAGGGUGACCGGCCACACUGGGACUGAGACACGGCCCAGACUCCUACGGGAGGCAGCAGUGGGGAAUAUUGGACAAUGGGCGAAAGCCUGAUCCAGCAACGCCGCGUGAGGGAUGACGGCCUUCGGGUUGUAAACCUCUUUCAGCGGGACGAAGCGAAAGUGACGGUACCCGCAGAAGAAGCACCGGCCAACUACGUGCCAGCAGCCGC